rnacentral:lncRNA from 1 species
UCCCUGGAGAACAAAUGACAUCUUCAAGGCAGUAGUCUAUAUUAUACCGAGGGUCACUGACAACAUAGUUGAAAGGUAAAGUUUGACUCACAGCAAUCCUUCAAUAUGAAUACCAAAUUCGCAUAUUCUCUUUUCGACACAUUGGAGCACCUCUCGAUUAGCUUGAGCUCGACAUAUUAGUACACGUAGCAUACUUUCAAGUACAGUUAUAUCGGGUACCUCUGAGAUGAGAGUAACUGCAUAGACUUUAGUUGUAACUUUUUCAAAGUAAAAGUAUC